ACCCGUGCCAAAAAAACCCACUCCUAUCGAUCCCCUAGAGACAUAGCGCUCCUCUCGCGGACGAGGUCUCGAUCCGCUCUUCCUCCUCUCCCGAGGAUACGCAGCCGCCGCCGCCGAUCUGCCGAUCCGGGCAUCGCAGCCGCCGCCGAUCUGCCUAUCUGGGCAGACGCGGCCUUCACGGAUCACGAGAACGCCGGCGCCGCCGGCUCCUCGGAUGCGUCGCCCCCGGCGCUCAGAUGCGUCGCCCGUCACCACCACGAUGGCACCUCACUACUGCCGCUCGGCAUGGAUUGCCGCCCUGAGGGGGCAGGGGGGCGGCUACCGCGGGCCCCCAAACUCUAGGGGCCACAUCCCAGGUAUGCUCCAUGUACGCAUGAGGCCCGAGGCAUGCUGCUACGAUGUGUGAGCAGAGGAGUAACUCCUAUUUUUUCCAUCCGAGAUCGUGGUCUCCUUCCCUCCCUACGAUGCAAGUCACGCCCUACACGGCGGCCGCCAGGAAACAAAUGCGCGAGGCCGCAAGCGGAUCCAGCGGGUUGCGACGUUCAGACGGCCUGCCAGGAACAAGAUGGUUGGCUUGUUGCUUCUGAUCUGAUUGCUCCAGGACUCCUUUUGUUUUUCUGCCACAAAGUUCCUUCCACCUAUGAUAUGUGUAUCAAGCAGUCGAUCACACCAGUUCACCAAUCAGCCCUAUUUGCUUCACCGGCCGGAUCUCCUAGCACUGCCUGAUAUUAUAUCAUCUGGAAAGUAUCGAUUUGGUAAUGAGCAAGAAAAAGGAAAAUAGGCUUAUGGAUGAGUUAAUAUAAUUACAGAGAGGAACUAUGGAUAAAUUUUAUCAAGAGUAAUAGGGGCACUUCGACGAGUUGGCAGUAAUUCCCGUGGACGAACCAACUACUGAUGUUAAGAAUCAAGUAAGUGUUUAUGAUUCUAUUUGUUAUUUGAAUCAACAUUAAGAUGUUUUGUAGAAAUUAUUUUAGUGCAUUGAAUAUUACGUCCUAAAUUGAUGUGUAUUAUAAUACUACAUACAUACAUUUUUUGAUCGGUUACUACAUACAUACAUAUACCGGGUGGGAGGUCCACUUAGCAAUCUCAACGUUUGAUAUUGAUAUAUGCAAACAUAUAUAUGAGGGGCGAUGAGGGGCCCCAUAUUAGUUUUCGCCCUGGGCCCCCGAAAUCUCAGGACCGGCCCUGCAGGGCGGCCAGACCAGGUGGCAAAUAUGGUGCAUGAGUCAACCUCACAACGCACUAUGGUGUCUAGCUAGGAUGGGCGUGGUGUAACAUGACGCUUUCUAGAAGCAUGUUAUCGAACAUCUCCACAGAAUCCCGAGCUUGCCUAAUUCCCAAAGCAUGUUAUCAUAAGGAUGAUUACGGAGGACAACUCUCUCAAUUCCCAAAGCACUAAUCUUGUCCUAAUUGCUCAUAUAUUGAAUCACUUUUCGCUGCAAAUAUGUUUUCUAUGCGUUCCUUCUUACAACCAGGGCAUUUACUUCCCAAAGAGUUGCUCAACUAAAAAGGACAAGGUGUUUGAGACUGCUUUUAUCUGCUCUGAAGUUUCCCCUUAAACACAGCUUUUCAGGUCUGUUAUUCUUGGUCAUAUAUUUUGGAGUUUUUGCAACUCAGUGUGAAAGAGUUGGGUAACCAACUCAAAAUGCGGUGGACAGAACUCAAAAUGAGGUGGACAGUGAUCAGUGUGCAGUCCAUUGAGUAUUAGUUUCACGAGCACUUCAUAUUGUUAAUUGUGCUUCUGUCUAUUAAUCAAGAGUGUAUUACUAAAACUACAGAUUGAUUGUUGUUGAUGCGCCUAUUGUACUGUAAUUAUUUAGUUCCUUCACUUCUAAGAUGAUCUCAGGUUUAGUAGUGAUAUAAAAAAGCUAUACAUUUCUAUGUUUUUCCUCUGCUAUUGUGUUGUUUCAUCAUUUUCUGUUCCUUGCGGUCUGCCACUCUUUGACUCCCUUUUUGUGCUCAAAUAUUUCUCAAUGUUCCUUGCAGGAUCCAUAUGAGCUUGGUUACGCACUAAAUUAUUCUGGAGGAUCUCAGGUAAUCGUUGCAGUUGAAGAUUACGCCCCUGGUCAUGAUUCUCAUUUUCAAACUUGCCAUUCAUCAUAGGUUUUGGAUGGAGUGUAUUCAUGCAUUAUAUUGGAGCAGGGACCUGCGGAGGAGGGGGAUACCAUGGGGAGGCGAACCUGGUAAAGUAGGGGUGGAAAGUAGACUAUAGGUAUGUUAUCCGUGGCAAGGACUUGGUGGAUUGUUUACCAUUUAGUUGUGUUCAACACCGAAAAAUGGUAAUAUCAUUUUUUUGUCCUUUGCAAAUUAAAUUAUUAAUCCAUAACAUUAUUUUUAUAUAUGGGCUUCUAUUAGCGCAACUGGAUUGAUGUAGCGGAGAAUUACCUUCAAAAUGAUUAAACGAAUGCGAAGAUUGGCCUUCUUGAAUUUUGACCACGUCUAAUAACACUUCUAAAUUAUGUCUAAUCUCCAUGUAGUUUGGUCCGGUUAUUUCAUCAACUAGCCCACUACUAUGUGCUGGAAGUUAUAUUGUUACUUAAUAUAGGCUACCCAUUCUAAACAUCUUUUUGACUGUGUUGUCAGAUUGAUUUAUCCAAUGGAACCUCACAUUAAUAAUAAAUUCCUUACAAUAACAAUGUGCUUUAUUUUAAAAUGGUUGAAUAUAAUUACCAAGUUUGAUGGACGUUCUAUGCCAUGCCAGUCAUUCAUAUGGAGAGCGCAAAUGCAAAUGUUCAUAUUGUAUUGACGAUGCUCCCUUUUGAAAUUAACAUGCUUUGUCAAUUUAUUUUCGACAUGAUGUAUUAUCUUAUUACUUUUUAGCCUAUAGGUUUUAUAUGAGUGAAAAUUAAAUAUGACAGUUCUUAGUCUGGUCUUGCCAACCCCUCCAUGUUAACCAGGUAUGCAAUGCAUUAUAUAAGAUUAUUUUUGUUGUUUUUCCUUCUUGUUAGUAUUUUUAAUUAUGGUUAUUACUCUUUGGAAUAAUCAACAAUUUAAUCUCUACUAUUAAAGGGGAGUAAGUAGGUCAUUUUUUCAUGGAGGGUGAGGCACAACCUUGUGAAGGAGUGGAGAAGAUAGUGUGCUCUGGUCCUCCUCCAAGCCCGCCAGCAUGGUCAGAAGUUGAAAUUCCUUUGGGCAUAGUAUCCCAGGACCAUGAGGAAGAACAUAUAGUCUCAACAAAAAUGACAUUAGCCCAUUAGAGAAAUAGGUGCUGAUUGUUUAGCAGAUAUGUUGGUGUGUCAAGUGUUGAGGAGCAGAGUUUACCCAUUCCACAACUUCAAGCUUGAUGGGGGCAUCAACAACGGUGCCUUCACCCUUGCUUGUGCCUGUGCCCAUAUGGCCAUCUUUGAUAUGUGGUAUUUAGUUACAUGACAGAGUUCUUUGUAAGUGAUAAGAUGAUUUGGAACUCGGUCACUUGAUACAUGUUUGAUUGAUGGGGAAAGUAUCAGGUGCUCCCAAGCCUGGUGAACUUCGUAUUAGUGACCUUUUAGAUAUUUAGCAUUCUAAAAGUUAGAUCCACCCGAACUGGAUAUGCAUACUAUUCUUGAGGUCGCUCGUGUGGGCUCCUGGUCUACAAUUUGCUGAUUUGAGUAUAUGUUGCGUCUUGAUGUGUUGCAGAUCCUUAAGGUCAGGUGUGAUAACUAGCGACACGUGGUGGAGCUUCUGCGGUAGGGCAUCGCCGACGGCAGCAUCACCUGCAUCAAACUCUCCCUGGUCGCCUUCGAGAGUGUGUGCACCCGACCUACAAGCUUGUUAUGAUGCCCUUUGAAUUUCCGAGCAACUUGCAACCUUUCCAGAUUUAUCAACACUGGUCACAUUAGUAGUCAAUAUGGUUCAGAUGCAUAAUAGUACGUACUUCGUUUCCUUUUUGUUGCAUACAUGGCAUCUUGUGAGAAAGUGUUCCUUAUAUUAUGUAACUAGGGAUAAAUAUGACGAAGCCAACAGUAAAGGUGCUCAUGUAAAAAAACUGAAGUUUAAAGGAAAUUGUUAUAAUAUAUAUAUCAAUUCC